UAGGGAAUCUUCCGCAAUGGACGCAAGUCUGACGGAGCAACGCCGCGUGAGUGAAGAAGGAUUUCGGUUCGUAAAACUCUGUUGUUAGAGAAGAACAGCGCAUAGAGUAACUGUUAUGCGUGUGACGGUAUCUAACCAGAAAGCCACGGCUAACUACGUGCCAGCAGCCGCGGUAAUACGUAGGUGGCAAGCGUUGUCCGGAUUUAUUGGGCGUAAAGCGAGCGCAGGCGGUCAAUUAAGUCUGAUGUGAAAGCCCCCGGCUCAACCGGGGAGGGUCAUUGGAAACUGGUUGACUUGAGUGCAGAAGAGGGGAGUGGAAUUCCAUGUGUAGCGGUGAAAUACGUAGAUAUAUGGAGGAACACCAGUGGCGAAGGCGACUCUCUGGUCUGUAACUGACGCUGAGGCUCGAAAGCGUGGGUAGCAAACAGG
rnacentral:rRNA from 1 species